rnacentral:piRNA from 1 species
UAGGGGACGUAACUCUAUGAUUCAGGCAAGU